UUAAUGGGGGUUAAAGUAUUUUUUAAAGAAAAAAUUUUUAGUUUUAUAGUAUAAUAGUAUUGUGUAAGAAUUUUGAAAUAAUUGAAAAUUUAAUUUUAAUAAAGUAAUUUUUAUUUAAUGUAUCUUGUGUAUCAGAGUUUAUUUAAAAUUUUUAAUUUUUAAAUUAAUUUCUCGAAUUUAAAAGAGUUAAAUAAUUAUUAAAUUUAUUGUUGCAAAAAUAUUUUAAAUAAUUAUUUAGAAAUGAAAUGUUAAUCGUUUUUAAAUAUAUCUAGUUUUUAUAGAAAAAAUUUUAAUUUUAAAUUUAAGUUUAUUAUCUAAUUAAUUAAUUAAUUAAAUAAUUAUUUAAAUUUUAUAUUUUAAGGGAUAAGCUUUAAAUUAAAUUUUUAUAAUAAAGAAUAUUUAUUUUUGAAAAUUUUAUAAUUUAUAUUGUUAAUAAAUUUUAUUUUAUUAUAAAUAAUUUCAUUUUGUUAAAAAAUUUAAAUUUUUAUUUAAUUUUUUAUAUAAAAUUUAUUUUUAAUUGUUAAAAAUUAAUUAUAAUGAUAAAAUUAGUAUAUUAUAUAUUUUAAAAAUUAUUUUUAAUUUGAAUUUUUAUUAUUUAAUUUAAUUAAUUAAAAGGAAUUCGGCAAAUAUAUAUUUUCACUUGUUUAUCAAAAACAUGUCUUUUUGUUGAUUUAUUUAAAGUCUAAUCUGCCCACUGAUUUUAAUUGAAGGGCUGCAGUAUUUUGACUGUACAAAGGUAGCAUAAUCAUUAGUCUCUUAAUUGGUGACUUGUAUGAAAGAUUGGAUGAGAAAUAUACUGUCUCUUAAUUAAUGUGUAGAAUUUAAUUUUUUAUUUAAAAAGUUAAAAUAAAUUAAAAAGACGAGAAGACCCUAUAGAGUUUAAUAAAUUUUUUUAUGCUAAUUUUAUUUAUAUUAAAUUGAAAUAAUUUUAUAAAUUUAUUUAUUUUAUUGGGGUGAUAGAAAAAUAAAUUUAACUUUUUUUAAAAAAUUUAACAAAAAUACAUGAUUAAAUGAUCCAGUUUAUUAUUGAUUAAAAGAUUAAAUUACCUUAGGGAUAACAGCGUAAUUUUUUUUUUUAGUUCGAAUAAUAAAAAAAGUUUGCGACCUCGAUGUUGGAUUAAGAUAAAAUUUAAAUGUAAAAGUUUAAAAUUUUGAUCUG
rnacentral:rRNA from 1 species